rnacentral:rRNA from 1 species
GGUGAACGCUGGCGGCGUGCUUAAGACAUGCAAGUCGAACGCAGUCUUCGGACUGAGUGGCGCACGGGUGAGUAACACGUAACUGACCUACCCCCAAGUCGCGGAUAACUGGCCGAAAGGUCAGCUAAUACGUGAUGUGAUGUCCCCUUUCUGGGGGGCCAUUAAAGGUUUACUGCUUGGGGAUGGGGUUGCGUUCCAUCAGCUAGUUGGCGGGGUAAAGGCCCACCAAGGCAACGACGGAUAGCCGGCCUGAGAGGGUGGCCGGCCACAGGGGAACUGAGACACGGGUCCCACUACUACGGGAGGCAGCAGGUAGGAAGCUUCCACAAUGGGCGAGGGCCUGAUGGAGCGAGGCCGCGGGAGGGAGGAAGGUUCUCGGAUCGUAAACCUCUGAAGCAGGGACGAAAGGCGCGUAAGCGGGAUGACGGUACCUGAGUAAUAGCACCGGCUAACUCCGUGCCAGCCGCCGCAGUAA